CCGGCGAGUAGAAGCGUUCAGCACGGUGGGGCCCGCCCCGCCGUCGCCCGGAAAUUGCUCGAUCC
ncrna:Acidovorax oryzae NMT1 RNA